CAACAAACAGAGCCGUUCAUGCCGGGGCUGGAUUAUAAUGGGAGGUUUUUAUGCAGACGGCUUACGCUUGUUCCAUGAAACCUAUAUUGUGGCAGGUGGGUGCCAAGUUGGGCUUCUUUGAUGUCUGCGCCUCGUACUUAACACAGGAGUUCCCUGCGAGGAGCGAUAAACAGGUUAUUCAUAUUCCAGUCUCUUAUUCAUAUCAAUGCCCGGUU